rnacentral:rRNA from 1 species
UCUGCUCAAUGAUUUUUAAAUUGCUGUGGUAUUUUGACUAUACAAAGGUAUUGAAAUAAGAUUUUAAUUGAAGCCUAAGAGAAUGGAAUUUCAGAAAAAAACUUUUUUCAAGUUAAAAAUUGAAAUUUUUUUAAUUUGUGCAGAAACAAUUAUUAAUAUUAAGGACAAGAAGACCCUAUGAAUUUAUAAAUUUUAUUUAAUAUGUAACUACUAUUAAAAAAAUUUUAGCUGGGGCGGCGGAAAAAUAUUUAAAACUUUUUUAAAAUAAAAUGACCCAUUAUUAAUGAUUAUAUGUUAAAUACUCUAGG